rnacentral:rRNA from 1 species
AGAACGCUGGCGGCAGGCCUAACACAUGCAAGUCGAGCGGUAGAGAGGUGCUUGCACCUCUUGAGAGCGGCGGACGGGUGAGUAAUGCCUAGGAAUCUGCCUGGUAGUGGGGGAUAACGCUCGGAAACGGACGCUAAUACCGCAUACGUCCUACGGGAGAAAGCAGGGGACCUUCGGGCCUUGCGCUAUCAGAUGAGCCUAGGUCGGAUUAGCUAGUUGGUGAGGUAAUGGCUCACCAAGGCGACGAUCCGUAACUGGUCUGAGAGGAUGAUCAGUCACACUGGAACUGAGACACGGUCCAGACUCCUACGGGAGGCAGCAGUGGGGAAUAUUGGACAAUGGGCGAAAGCCUGAUCCAGCCAUGCCGCGUGUGUGAAGAAGGUCUUCGGAUUGUAAAGCACUUUAAGUUGGGAGGAAGGGCAUUAACCUAAUACGUUAGUGUUUUGACGUUACCGACAGAAUAAGCACCGGCUAACUCUGUGCCANCACCCGCGGUAAUACANAGGGUGCAAGCGUUAAUCGGAAUUACUGGCGUAAAGCC